ensembl:lncRNA
GCAAUGGAAGGUGGCCUGGUGUAAUGAAUCACAUUUUCCUUUACAUCAUGUGGACGGCUGGGUGUGUGUGUGCGCAUCACUUAACUGGGGAAGAGAUCGCACCAGGAUGCACUACGGGAAGAAAGCAAGCCACAGAGUCAGUGUGAUGCUCUGGGCAAUGUUCUGCUGGAAACCUUGGGUCCUGGCAUUCAUGUGGAUGUUACACUGACACGUGCCACCUACCUAAACACUGUUGCAGACCAAAUACACCCCUUCAUGGCAAUGGCAUUCCAUAAUGGCAGUAGCCUCUUAUGAAACCAUGAAUGGUUUGAGGAACAAAGAGUUCAAGGUGUGACUUGGUCUCCGAUCAAGGUCUGUGGGAUGUGCUAGACAAAACCGACCACCUUAAAACUUACUGGACUUAAAGGAUCUGCUGCUAACGUCUUGGUGCCAGAUGCCACAGCACACCUUGACAGGUCAGAGCUGUUUUGGCAGCACAAGGGGGACCUACACAAUAUUUGGCAGCUUUUUUAUUCUUCUUCUUGCUGUGUUAUUUGCGCUUUCUAAUUGUAAAGCGACCUUGAGUGUAUAGAUCGACCGAUAAUCGGUUUUACUUAUAAUUGGAUAUCUGUUUUGUAAUAUCAGAUCCGCCGAUAAAUGGCGUCAUCUUGUGGGCGUUUUGAGAAUUACGCACAGGACUACCAUUGCAACACUGCAUAAGAGGGGAGACAAGUCAACAACAGUGUGCCCAGGCAAAGUAUACUUGCUUUGUUUUAAUUAAUAAACUUUCUUUACAUAACAACCAUUAAUGCACAAAUGAGAUGUGUUACAUAAAUGCUUGAUAUGUAGUUUAAGCAGCUUGGCACUAAGAAAUAGAGAGGAACUCACAGAGUCUCGUAAUCUGUUUACCUCCUCAACGCUUUGGUUAAAAAAAAGACACUUUAGUAACAGUGCACUUUAUUUUUUGCACUUUUUCAGACCCCUCUUUUAUUGGUGUAUAAAUAAGAGUUGUUUUGUAUCGUUUUGUAUGCAAGGAGGAAGUGAAAUUGACAAAAUGUUAUGUUAUAAAUGUUAUAAAUAAAACGGUUUAUUCAGCUCAGUGGUGUUAUCAUGUGUCAAAAACAGAAGUAAAACAAUAAAUAAAUAUUGGUUCUUCAUAUCGGUCAUCAAGCACAUAAACAUGCAAAUAAUCUGUAUUGAUUAUAAAAAAUCAAUAUUGGUCGAUCUCUACUUGAGUGUGUAGAAAGGCGCUAUAAAAGUAAACUUAAUAAUAAUAAUAAAAAUAUUAUAUAUGACAUAUAUAUACACAUGUAUGUAUCAGAGUUUCCACUACGAAAUUUUGGUGCCGUCCAAUGUGUCCGGGAAUGAUAAAAGUUUACAGAACAAACUGGAAAAAAUCCAGUCAUCUCAUUCCGAGUGUUUAUUUUGCACUGUAAUGUUUUGGACUAUGCAUGGUAUAUGCGAUUGUGGCGGCAAGGGCAUGGCCGAGAGUCAGCUGGUAGCCCGAGUUUACUUGUGUGUGUCUGUCAGUGCUUUCAGUGCUUCUUAGAGAGAGAGAGAGAGAGAGAGAGAGAUUUAAGUUUGCAGUUGCAAAUGUACUUUGUCUAAUGUCUGCUACAUGUUAAUAUUUUUACCAUUUAUUGUGUCCGAGAAGUUUUGAUUUUAACAGACAUUUAGAAUUUUUAAUGGUCAAAAACCAGUAUUUACAGAAACUCUGAAAGGAAAUUCUCAUAUAUCAUGUACUCUCUUAUAUUAUGAACUGCUAUCAAAUACCUAUAAUGAAUGUAUACAUUUAAUUACCUCUUUAGUAUGCUGAUCAACUGCUACCCUUUCUUAUAGCUGGCACAUGUAUUUUCUGUCUCUUGAAAAGACUUAUUUUCAUAGUGUGCUUUGUGUUUUGUUUCGUCUGUCUGGCUGGCACCUGCACCAGUAGAAACCAUCCACACACUGCUGUUAUCAAUGUGUAUAAAUACUACCGUUUUGCAUGAAUAAACCGGAAGUCUCUGUGAACAUUCAUAUGUGUCAGUGUGUGUUCAUUCAGACUCUCCAGGCGCCUGAACUCUGCCACACAUUCUAAACCACACAUUCUAGCUCAUAGCAGCACAGAACUAAUAUUUAAUAAGUGUAGAACAGGCUGAAAGGGCUGAUGGAGGUCUGGAAGACAUUAUCUGAGAUUUGGAGAUUCCUGAGAUACAUGGAAAUCUAACAAACUCUGAUAUGUAUAUAUAUGAAUAUACAUGUAACAUAUAUGAAAUGCUUUCUAUGUCCAUAUUAGAGGUCAACCAAUAUUGGAUUUUACGGAUGCCAAUAACUAAGUUGGGCAGUACCUGCCGAUAACAGUUUAAUCAACCAAUAGUUUUUAAUGUUGAUACUGAACAAAAACAAACACUCAAGGUAAAAUAAUGCUGAAAUUUAUUACAAAAAUAAACAGUACUGGCCGUACAUUGAAAAUGUACUGUACUUUUUUAAAAUGAAAUAAAUAAAUAAAUAAAUAAAUAUAUUUGCUUACCUUGAGUGUGUAGAAAGGCAUUAUAAAAAAUAAACUUAUAAUUAUAUAUUAUUAUUAUAUCAACAUAUAUAUUAACUAUUAAUAAAUACUGAAGUAAAUAAAAUAUAUACAUCCAAACUGAACCAAAUUGUAACACUCCGUGCUCCGUGCAUAGUGUAGUCUCACAUGUCAAAAACAAGCACCAUGAAGCAUCAGUGCUAUUCAGUACUGUAUAAUGGCAGCAGACCCUUCUCAGCUGCUCCUACAAUGGACGCAAUCGAGAAAAACUAUCGGUCUGGAUUUUUGUCGAUAACCAAUAGUUCCAGCAAUUGGUUAUCUGUACCAGUUAAUCAGUCGACCUCUAGUCCAUAUAUCAGAUUUCUGCGAAGUUUCAGGUACAUAAUUUUACAUUUAAAUAAAAUUGUUUAUCUGCUUUUCUGAAGUGCAGGUGGCAUGACCACAGUUCUUCUGUAACCAUUUCACAGUCACGAUUUUCACAUUCACAUUAGCCAUUCAUGGUUUCAGAAGGGUCGUUUGUGAAAAGAUUAUAUUGAAAAUGUACUGUUAUGUGUCUUACUGUUCAGUGUGUUUACCACCAUCCAAUGUUUUGCUGUAUUAUAAGAAGUUUUUAUUUAAUUUAAUUUUAAUAUAUCUGCUCUAGAAGCACCAAACAAACUAUAGAGGUCUUGUACUAUCGUUAAUGUGGUUACUUUAUUCUUCGGUUUUCAUUCAUCUUCAAGUGCUUUAUCCUGGUCAGGAUAGAGGUAGCUCAGAAGCCAAUCUAAGGAACACCGGGCACAAGGCAGAGCAACAUGUGCAAACACACAUUCACAUGUAUGGCAAUUUACAGCCAAUUUUAUGGCCAAUACACCUACCUGCUUGGAUUUGGACAGUGGGAGGACGAACACGGACGAAGCUCAUACAAACCUGGGAAGAACAUGCA